CGUAGGGUGCGAGCGUUAAUCGGAAUUACUGGGCGUAAAGCGUGCGCAGGCGGUUGUGCAAGACAGAUGUGAAAUCCCCGGGCUCAACCUGGGAAUUGCAUUUGUGACUGCACGGCUAGAGUGUGUCAGAGGGGGUAGAAUUCCACGUGUAGCAGUGAAAUGCGUAGAGAUGUGGAGGAAUACCGAUGGCGAAGGCAGCCCCCUGGGAUAACACUGACGCUCAUGCACGAAAGCGUGGGAGCAAACAGGAUU
rnacentral:rRNA from 1 species